CGGGGAAUAUUGCACAAUGGGCGCAAGCCUGAUGCAGCCAUGCCGCGUGUAUGAAGAAGGCCUUCGGGUUGUAAAGUACUUUCAGCGGGGAGGAAGGGAGUAAAGUUAAUACCUUUGCUCAUUGACGUUACCCACAGAAGAAGCACCGGCUAACUCCGUGCCAGCAGCCGCGGUAAUACGGAGGGUGCAAGCGUUAAUCGGAAUUACUGGGCGUAAAGCGCACGCAGGCGGUUUGUUAAGUCAGAUGUGAAAUCCCCGGGCUCAACCUGGGAACUGCAUCUGAUACUGGCAAGCUUGAGUCUCGUAGAGGGGGGUAGAAUUCCAGGUGUAGCGGUGAAAUGCGUAGAGAUCUGGAGGAAUACCGGUGGCGAAGGCGGCCCCCUGGACGAAGACUGACGCUCAGGUGCGAAAGCGUGGGGAGCAAACAGG
rnacentral:rRNA from 1 species